CGAUAUCUUCUAUUUCUC
rnacentral:snRNA from 1 species